UGGGCGCACGAGCGCAACCCUUGUGCCUUAGUUGCCAGCGGGUAAAGCCGGGAACUCUAGGGAGACUGCCGGUGCCAAACCGGAGGAAGGUGGGGAUGACGUCAAGUCAUCAUGCCCCUUAUGUCCAGGGCUGCACGCAUGCUACAAUGCGCGGUACAAAGGGCUGCGAUCCCGCAAGGGGGAGCGAAUCCCAAAAAGCCGCGCUCAGUUCGGAUCGGGGUCUGCAACCCGACCCCGUGAAGUCGGAGUCGCUAGUAAUCGCAGAUCAGCAAUGCUGCGGUGAAUACGUUCACGGGCCUUGUACACACCGCCCGUCACACCACGAAAGUGGGCAACACCCGAAGCCGGUGGCCCAACCCCUUGGGGAGGGAGCCGUCGAAAGUGGGGCUCGCGAUUGGGGUGAAGUCAUAACAAGGUAGCCGUACCGGAANGUGCGGCUGGAUCACCUCCUUGCUANGGAGCCACUUGGCACUCCGGUCUGGUCGAGCGUUCAUCUCGACGGCCGGCAGACUCCAGGUCNGUGCACUGGCUACUCGGCANGCGAGCUCGCUCGAGCNGUGCGCAAGUACGUCUCU
rnacentral:rRNA from 1 species